GAGCAAAUCCCAAAAGCCGGUCUCAGUUCGGAUUGAGGUCUGCAACUCGACCUCAUGAAGCUGGAAUCGCUAGUAACCGCGCAUCAGUCAUGGCGCGGUGAAUAUGUUCCUGGACUUUGUACUCACCGCCCGUCAAGCUAUGAAAGGAAGGGGCGCCUGAAGUUCCAUCUUGUAUGGACCUAGGGCGACACUUCUGAUUGGAGCUAAGUCGUAACAAGGUAUCCGUAGGAGAACCUGCGGAUGGAUCACCUCCUUUCUAAGGAGU
rnacentral:rRNA from 1 species